GACGAACGCCGGCGGCGUGCUUAACACAUGCCAGUCGAACGAUAAAACAGUAGCUUCCUCCUCUGGCUUAGUGGCGAACGCGUGCGUAACACGUGAGCAAUCUGCCCCUGACUUCGGUAUAACUACGGGAAACUGUAGCUAAUACCGUAUAUGCGCCGAACAGGCAUCUGUAUCGGUGGGUAAGCAUUUCGGUCAGGGAUGAGCUCGCGGCCUAUCAGCUUGUUGGUGAGGUAACGGCUCACCAAGGCGGCGACGGGUACCCGGCAUGAGAGGGUGACCGGCGACAUUGGGACUGAGAGACGGAGCAGACUGCUACGGGAGGCAGCAGUGGGGAGUAUGGCACAAUGAGCGCGAGCGUGAUGAAGCAACGCCGGGUGAGUGAUGACGGCCUUCGGGGUGUGAACAUCUUUUAGCAGGGAAGAAGCGAAAGUGACGGUACCUAAAGAAAAAGCGCCGGCUAACUACGUG
rnacentral:rRNA from 1 species